UUUUUGUCUAGAGGAAGAUAUAGCCUGUCUAUUUCUUUAAAUCUAAUAUGUGUUUUUCUCUAUCCACAAGUAAAUACUCCUUUUGAAAAGCUCAAAAUUUUAUUUCUUCUUUCUGAAGGCUUUAUCUUGCAUGAUCACUAUUAAUUGUUUGUUUAACAGCCUGGAUUAGCUGGCUGCAAGGUUUGCUUAGUAUCUUGUGUAAAUUCUUUAUCAUUAAAAGUCAGUUUUCCUGAUGGCAUUAUGAAGAUUUACUACUUCUGUAAGUAUGACUUUUUCUUUUGUGGGGUUUCUGUAAGUGGAAUAGACAAAGAAAGAAGCAGUUACUUUGGUUUUUACUAGCCAUAGGAUAUUCUAGUUUAUAAUUUAAUUUAAAAAACUAAAAGGUUAUAUGAGAUAACAUGAAGUUUCAGAUUCUUUAGAAAGAAAAUCUGAUGUCAGUUUUUCUUUCUUCAGCUAUUGGCCGUGGUCAUUUUUCCUCUGGCCAAUGUGAUCACAGUAACUGCCUUUUCGUAGUCCCACGGCCAGUACAUUUUGUGCUAUAGAUGAUUUCAGGAGGAAAGAAGAACUUGCACAAAUGAGCUGCAGAGAGAGUCCUCAAACUUUAUAUUAAUUAAUCAUUUCAGCCUGCUCCCCUACUAAACUUUUAACUAGAGCAGCUAAUAGGAAGCAAACGGAUGGGUUUGAAUUUCAUCUCCUUUUGUUUUCCCUGCUCACUCUCUGGAAAAGGGGCUAAUGAGCAGUGAAAUGGCCAGGCGUGAGCCGUGAGCCGCCAGAGGAGAGGAGGGCCUGCCUGUGGAGACUGCUGGCUGUGUAAUCAGCUCCUGAAUUAUCACAAGGUGCCUCACGGCUUUAUGAAGGUGUCUGUAAUACCAGGCUCCAAAGCUGAGAGGAGUAAGGAGAAGAAAAGAUAGUGCUCCCAUUGGCAUGAUGUCCACUUUGUCCAUUGGAUUGGAGCUGUACCCCCAAGGAAGCCUCUUUAGAGAAAAAAUAAUAGAAGGCAAAUGUUGACUUGCAAAGGGUAACAAACCUGUUAGUGUUUACAGUACAGAUGCUGACACUGUUUAACCUAAUAGCAAGCUGUUGCUUAAGCAUCUUUCAGAGAGUAAUUAAAAGGCUCCAAGAUGCACCGAAACCAAUUAUAUUAAAAUUUUAUUUGUAGGGAGUGCUUAAGACUUAAGGUAAAAAAAAUCAGAAUUCAUAACCCAACGGGAGAUGUCUUUCUGCCAUAGGCAACAGGGAUGGUACUGAGAUCUCAAUUAAAGACCAGGGCUUGGUUACAAAGGCGGGGACCUAAAAUCAGCUUUCCUCUGACCCAACCCAGAGCUUCUUUGAUGAGGGAAGGAAAAAGUUCACUAUUGCAACAAUAUUAAGUAGAAAUUAGAAGAAAGAACUGGUUAUUCCUUUGGGGAAAAAAGACCAAAGAAAGGGUGACGGCCUGCCUGAAGAAGUUUCAGCAGCAGCAAGGCUGGAAAGAUCAGUGUUGAGAGGGCUCUGAGAGAUGCGUUUUCCUGAAGAGCUGCAUUCUUCAGGCAUAAGGAAUGGGUCAUGUUUGCUGUUUGCUUGUUUUCUCUUUGCCAAAAAAUCCACCAGGUCAGUCUGAGUGUCCCAGCUGAAUUCCACAAAAGACGUAUCAAGAGAUCCAGCUGCUGCUUCUGAGACUGUCACUGACUGGCUGUGUGACCUCAGAGAAGUCACUUUCCUGCUCUGAGCUUCAGUUUCUUAGGAUCUGUGGAGAGAAAGGAACACUUACAGCUCUAAAAAGGGUCAAUCCUGCUGUGGUAAUACUUUGGAUUCAGAAAAUACCUCCUCUUCUCACACUCAAACUUGGAAAAUGCUGUCAGUCCUUAAAUCCUCUCUGUAACUCACAGGGAUUAGUUUCCUCUUAUUGCAGCUGGAGUUAUGAAGAGUCAGUGAAGCUAAGUGGCAGGCACAAGGUGACCUUUCACCUUCCAGAGGACGGUGGAGGACUGCACUCCUGACUUCAGCCCGGGGCUUGAGCCAUUCAGGGUAUUGACGCACAGAGAGUUUAUGGGAUUAAACACCACAGCCAGGACCCUGAAGCUGCGCUCUUACUGUGACCCUGCACUGCAUUUUGGUCCAGAAGCAGAGGACUCCACGAAACAGGCUGGGGUAUCCACAGGAGGCUAGAGGUCCUGAAAGCUCGAAGAGAGCGUGAUCUGACUUCAGAUGACCUGUACUGGUUCUUCAGACUGAAAUAUCCCUCCAGUGGAGAAAGGCAAUUCAUCAAGCAACCAGAGCUGGAAAGUAAUUCUCUGAAAGAACAUCCAGCUGCCCUGGCUCCUGUUCUCUACUCACCCAACAGAGAACUUGCAAUUUGGCCUCCUGAGAGCUGAUGGCCAGCAUGCGUUCUCUCAGGGAGGACCCUCCUGCUGGGAGUUAAUCUAGGAUAUUGGUCUAUCAAUCACUCUCUGGUGAGUUCCCCUCCCAUGAUUCAGUCUCUUGUCUGAUGGCCUCUGCUGGAACUGAUAACGACCCUGAGCCUGCUCAGAUGUUGAGCAGAUAUUGGGCUUUGGGUCCCUACUUUGGUGCAGCCACACUUGGGAGGCCCUCACCUGAAGAAGACAGAGUCUUUCUCAUUAUGUGGCCUUGGUAGCUUAUGGGGACCGUAUCUUGUUUUGUCCAGGAACCCAGCAAGUCCAUCUAGUCCUAAAGCUUCAGAGAAUAGAUGUUCCAAAGACCAUAGGUAUGUGUUUGAACAAGAAUCUUGCAGAAGCAUUCCUAAACACAGCCUCAGUGUGAGGGUCUCAAACUUACUCAGGUUAGUAAACCCAAAUAGAGGCAGAGAUAGAGUGAGCCUCCCUCUACCAGGUUUGGUGCCUGGAAAGUCCCUUUGGGCUUACAGUGUCUUGAGGCGUUGAAGGAAGGGACUCACGUGGGCAGCCUGAAGGAGCAGAGCAGCAUCUCAGGAGGUAACCUGUAAGCACAUCUUUUGGGCAACAGCUGGUCAGGCCCUGGGGCAAAUGGAGAGGAGAACAGCAGAGCAGGAGGAGAAGGAGAGGUUCUCAUUGGUCUAGAGGCUAGGAAGCUGGUUGGCAAGGAUGCCAGUCAGAUUUGGUUCCUGGGUACUCCUUGCAGAGAUCCUUCCCACGCUCUACCCACCUAGCCUUGGCAGUGCCCCUUCUCCAUUGUGGGCAACUCUCUGAGAUGGGUUGGCUAAGGGGGAGUAGAUCCCUAAUCAGUGGAGGUAGUACUCUGAGAUUCCAUCAUGAAGAGGUCAUCAGGUGACACAGUGAGUGGACCGAGGACUCUGACUUGCUGGGACUUGGCAACCAAGACGGGUGGAAGUGGCAAAAGCUGGAUGGCCUGGCUGUAAGGCAGUGCAUAACACAGUGUCCUGUUGGUAUAGCAGGGUUUGGUAAGCCGCAGUAUAGUUGGGGGAGGGAGUGUCUCACCUAGUGGCUGAAGGUCAGUGAAAGUAGGUGACACCUAAGUCAGAUGGUAUCUGUGUCAGGGCCCCAAACUAUUUAUCAG
rnacentral:lncRNA from 1 species